ACUUACACAUGCAAGCAUCCACAUCCCGGUGAGAAUGCCCUCUGAAUCUCUAAGGCUAAGAGGAGCAGGUAUCAAGCACACAUCCUGUAGCUCACAACACCUUGCUUAACCACACCCCCACGGGAGACAGCAGUGACAGAAAUUAAGCUAUGAACGAAAGUUUGACUAAGUUAUAUUGACCAGGGUUGGUAAAUCUCGUGCCAGCCACCGCGGUCAUACGAUUAACCCAAGCUAACAGGAACACGGCGUAAAACGUGUUUAAGCACCAUACCAAAUAGAGUUAAAUUUUAAUUAAACUGUAAAAAGCCAUAAUUAUAAUAAAAAUAAAUGACGAAAGUAACUCUAUGACAGCUGAUACACUAUAGCUAAGACCCAAACUGGGAUUAGAUACCCCACUAUGCUUAGCCCUAAACACAAAUAAUUAUAAAAACAAAAUUAUUCGCCAGAGUACUACCGGCAACAGCCUAAAACUCAAAGGACUUGGCGGUGCUUUACACCCUUCUAGAGGAGCCUGUUCUAUAAUCGAUAAACCCCGAUAGACCUCACCAAUUCUUGCUAAUGCAGUCUAUAUACCGCCAUCUUCAGCAAACCCUAAAAAGGAACAAAAGUAAGCAUAAUCACAACACAUAAAAACGUUAGGUCAAGGUGUAACCUAUGAAAUGGGAAGAAAUGGGCUACAUUUUCUAUCACAAGAAAAUCUCACGAAAGUUAUUAUGAAACUAAUAACCAAAGGAGGAUUUAGUAGUAAACUAAGAAUAGAGUGC
rnacentral:rRNA from 1 species